CUCCAACAACAGCCUCUGGAGCUGCUGAUGGUUUUCCCUUCUAGAUGAAAGUAAAAGGAGCCAGGGUCUUUGCUGAUUGACUGUGUUAACUUCAAUGUCACCUCCCAGAGAAGGGUCCCCCUUGAUUACUCGUUCAAGAGGCAGAGGGAGAUCUGAUGCAGAGAUGACAGUGUGACCACGGAGGCAAGCUCGGAAGGGUACAGCGCAAGUUAAGGAAUGCGGGCAGCCCCCUGAAGCCGGAAGAGGCAAGGAUCGGAUUCUGUCCUAGAACCUCCAGAAGAAGUGUCCCCUUGCUGACAUCCUCGUUUCAGAUGUCUGGCCUCCAGACCUGUGAGAGAAUGAACGUCUGCUGCUUUACACGCUGAGUUUGGGGCAUUUUGUUACAGCAGCGACAGGAAACGAAUACACACCAUCUGGCCUCAGAUAGCUCAGCCCGUAACUUAGUCAUCAUCAUCAUCUAACAAUUGUAACAGCCCCGCACCAGACUGCCUUCUGCCUGCCCCACAGCCUUGCCCUCCACACACAGUCUGAUGGGUAAUUCCUGCCUGAAUUCCCUCAGCACAGAGCCCACAUUUAAUAGCCUGAAGCACAGGGCUUUUCCUGACAUGGUCCCUGAGUACUUCUCCACCCUCAUUUCUCACCACUUGGCCCCAUCACUUUUGCUCCAGCUGUAUCAACCUCCCUGCAGUUUUCAACUGUUACAUGUUCUCUCAAACUUCUGAGCCUUUGCACAUGCUGUCUCCUUUGCCUGGAACACUCUUCCUCCCUCCAGAUAUCUACAUGGCUUGUUUUCUCAUUGACUUCAGGUCUUUGCCCCAAAGAACUUCCUUGAUGAUAGAUUUCAAAGCACAACCCCCUCUUCACCUUCACAUUUCUGAUUCCCUUGCCCUAUCCUGUUUCCCCCCCAUGGUACUUAUCACUGCCUCUGUACUUAACUUCUUUGCUCAUUGCCUGUUGCCCCUGAUUAGAAUUAAAUUUCACAGGAACAGGGAAUUUAAACUGGGUGGCUUAAACAAUAAACAUUUACUUCUCACAGUUCUGGAGGCGCCGGCACUCAGAGUCAAUGUCUGCUGAGAACUCUGAGCUCUUCAUCCCCUUAUGAGGGCCCCAGUCCCAUCUUGGGGUUCUACCCCAUGACCUCUUCCAAAGCUAAUCACCUCCCAAAGGUCCCACUUCCAAACACCAUCACACUGGAGAUUAGGCUUCAACAUAUGCAUCUGGGGGGAUACAAGCAUUCAGUCCACAGCAGGAGGAUUUGGGGGUGAUCUGGAAGGUCUCCUGGGAUUUUCAGCCCCUUGUAAUCCUUGAGAUCAAAGAUUCCUCUCCUUUCUGAGCCA